CGCUCGCUCCCGCCUCCUCGGAAACCUUGUCCCCACAACCACUGCGUGUUAAAAAGGACAAAACUGACUCGCAGCUUGAAAAACACUCAGAAAGCUACCAUCACUACAGGUUUCUAUAAUUAACUCCUGAACUGCAAUUGGUCUUUCAACUGUGUCUCCUCCAAGAAGCCCUGCAUUGUCUUCUCCAACAAUGUCUCCUUCAAGAAGCCCUACAUUGAUUCAUAAACUAAGGAAUUUUCAUAGGUUUCCAUGAUGUUAAA